UUUUUUAUUUUUUUGGCCAUGACCCGGUAGUCUUUGGCCGCACUUUGUGCUGCUGGCAUUACACUAUCCGCCACCCAUAAUAGAAAGAUAGUUCGUCUUUGUAUCUGUGGCAUAGCGGCACCUGUGAAUACAUGGGCAGUACCAUUGAGCGCUAUCUCAAUUUUAAAGUAACAUUACUUCUUAUUUUGUUUGAAAAAAGCGUAAAGCUAAAAUUGGUGAUUUUACGGCACCUCUAGUGCUGGAGGACCCAGUGGCGAUCCGUCAUUCAGGGAAGGCACAGCAGUGCCCCACCUGUUUAGCCUAUAUAUUUAUAUAUAUUUAUAUUUUUUGUUUGUUUGUUGCCUGUUUUACAUGUUAUUUGGCAUUAAUACAUGUCACAUAUCAAUUCAAUCCAGCAUGAUUUCUGCCGCGAUCAAAACAACUGGAAACUCGGAACUGGGGAAUCUCGGACUUCUUUGUCUUGAAAGCACCAUAAAUCCAGAGAUUGCCAGACUUUGAUGACAACAUUUGCCCACAAGAAGGACCGUCGCGCAACCUUCCUGUUCAAGACAAGAAAAUGGUCACACACUUAUCAAGAGAACAUCCCUGGUCAUCCUUGCCGCCUCUGAUCUGGCGGACUCACUAAACACAUGCUUCGUUUGUAAAUGAUGUCUG
rnacentral:lncRNA from 1 species